UGAGUAGUCACCUCCAGCUGUUAAUGGUCGAGUCUUUUGGUUUGAACAUAAGUUCUCUGGAUUCAGGUUUCAUUUGCUGUUUCUUAUUGCCUUUCUCUGAAGCAUGUUUUCUUCUCAUGGGGAUAAUAAGGUUCUGUACAAAAAGUAAAGUUUCAGAUUUUUUAAAAUUAAAUAAACUGGAGUUCAAUACACACAAAGUAUUUUCUUCAGUCCUCAAUCGAUUUUUGUGACUCUUUUUGCACCUCUCCAACUUUUUCAAUACUUUUUAAAACUGGAUGUGCUGAGUAAAGAUAGAAAGUAAUUUCACUUCUGCUAGUCACUGUUCUCCUAUUAAAUUUUAAUCCAGGAUCACAUCAACUAUCUUUGAAACAGUAGUAUCUUGAAAGUUUUUGUUGAAUUACUUCUUCCUCAAGACCCUUCUGAGAUUCCAGAUCAUAAUAUUUUCUUCAUUAGGAACAGACUACAUACUGGGGGGUGAAGGGGGAGGUGUCUGUUUUUAAGAAUUUUUAAAGAAAAAUUCAUUAUACAGAAUUUCAUCAUAAUAGAACUUUCUCUUUGCUCCAUCAGCUAUAAGAAGUCUGGGCUCAUAAUGAAAGGCAUGAGACUUGUGGCUAUAACUGAAUAUGGAACUCAGAGAGAACCGGAUGCUGAAAGCCACAGCUGUAGGAUCUCUCUCAAUACCCUCUGGAUCCUGGCCCUAGUGAAAUGUGGGUUGUCUGAAUUUAGAGUUGAUGAGUUAGUUUUCUGUAUUUGGAGUUAAUAGGCUAGUUUGUUGUGUGAAUAAAGUUAAGUGUUGCGGUAGUUGUGAGGCGACUUGGAGGCGGGGAGCUUGUGGUCGGUGGGGGUGCCUGCGCCCUGGAGCCCUGGAGCGGGGGACAGCUUGUGACUACGAGAUAACGAUCUUGUUACCAUGCGAACACUGCCUGACUAAGAUUCCCGCCUUAGCUAGCUUAAUGUCUGUUAAAGUGAUUAGCCAAUCAGCAUGAAACAUGUGUGCCUUAGACUAUAUAAAUGUAUGUUUGCCAUACAAUAAAGCGGACACCUUGCUUGCAUCAAGUUGCGUCCCCGUCUCUCAGUCGCGGCAAAUUGGUGACCUCCGACGUGAUCGUCAGCGACGAAACCGCCGAGGAUUGAAAAACCGCCUACCUGGUGGCAUGUCGCGAGUCCCGCAGAACGUGGAAUGAGCUGCUGAAAGGAAGCAGGAUAAGCCGGCCGGCCAAACAAUCCCUCCGUCUGGAACGAGAGAAAGAGGUCCCCGCUGGAUCCCAGCUAAAAAUGUGAGACCUUUUCGAGAGACACUGCAGCAGCCUCCUGAAGACAUUCCUGGUCCUGAUCCUGCGACUGACAUAGAAGACACUACCGAUCAAUAAUUGAAUGAACUCUGUUCCAGAGGUUAACAAAUGGGAGCUUAAGUGUCCCCAAUGUGAAAAAUGUAAUCCGUGGAUUUGUAGAAUUUGUGCUAAUUGUGGAAAAUCACAGUGGCUAAAUCGCCAUACAGUAGGACACUGGUGUGAUAACUGCCUAACAAUUGAGUGGAAUACAGUUCAGGUGUUAUUGAUAACAGGUAGAGAGACAGAAUAUUCUCCCCGGUAUGAUUAUUAUUCUGACGAUUGGGGGAAAAUUGUAGCACAAAGGUCUGUGGACAUUUUAUAUUCUAAGAUUGAAUGCGCCAAAGACAUUCAAAUGAGCAUUAUUAAUAGUAAUCCCAUGUGUGUUACAAUGCUUCCAAAAUCAAUAACUGCUUCAAUGAACAAGAUUUUCCUCGUGCAGCAAGGAGCGGACCAAGAUCAGAAAGAAAUUACGAAAACCCCCAGUACGGAGCUGUUAGUAAGAUGUCCUCGAGUUGGUCGUUUGCUGACCUUGGGAGGGUCAGUUAAUUAAAACAAAAAGGGGGAGAUGUGGGUUGUCUGAAUUUAGAGUUGAUGAGUUAGUUUUCUGUAUUUGGAGUUAAUAGGCUAGUUUGUUGUGUGAAUAAAGUUAAGUGUUGCGGUAGUUGUGAGGCGACUUGGAGGCGGGGAGCUUGUGGUCGGUGGGGGUGCCUGCGCCCUGGAGCCCUGGAGCGGGGGACAGCUUGUGACUACGAGAUAACGAUCUUGUUACCAUGCGAACACUGCCUGACUAAGAUUCCCGCCUUAGCUAGCUUAAUGUCUGUUAAAGUGAUUAGCCAAUCAGCAUGAAACAUGUGUGCCUUAGACUAUAUAAAUGUAUGUUUGCCAUACAAUAAAGCGGACACCUUGCUUGCA